GACUGCACAGUGAACUGUUCAGAACUAAUGAAUGAAAUAAUCAGUGCAUUUGGAGAGAGCUCUAUGAGGUGGCUACGAGGGAUGGAGAGAGAUAAUCUGUGAGUCUCUUCUGUGCUCUGUGUUCCAGAGUUAACAAUCUGUUUGAGCAACAUCAUUUAUUCAAGAUCAUAAGUUAGAAGAUUGAUAUCAGCUGGAGAGAGAGAAAAAGCAACAAUUAGCUCGCAAAACCCCUGCACUAAACCACAACCAGGAUGGAGAAAAAGACUGAAACAAGUUCACCACAGAAACAGAGUGUCAAGAAUCGCUCCAAAUCCACCGAUGAGGUUCUACAAGCCAAGAAGGCUUUUCACACACCUCAGAUAUCCUUGCCUGGCCGACCAGAUUUAGAGAGAUUGAAGUGUUUUCGGCUCAUUCCAGGAAGCGACUGAGACCGCUGAAAGUUCAGACAAUGAAGAAGCAUCAAUCAAGAAAGUUCAGGAUUGAAUAGGAGACCUCAUUACAGCUGAUCAAUUAUGUCUACCAUUAAUUCUUUCGCUGACUGGGCAUCUGGGAAAUCACCAUCAAUGAUGUAACUGUGCCACCAGUCAGUAAAAGCAGCAGGAGACGCAACUCCUAUCAACCAAGGUUUACUCGUCAGACUGUACCUCUAACUGUGUGUGUCAAUUAACAUGGUCAUCCUUAAUUGUCUUGUUAGAGCUGACGGCAAUUGUGCUGCCAGCCUGUUCCAUUCGUAGACGCAUUUAUUGAAGUUGUGUUUUAGUGAGUGACAAAAUGAACUGUUCAACAAAUCUGAAACUAUUGUGUGCAUAAGUAACACGAUGUGUGCUAAAGUGUGAAUGGACAUGCAUGCUGAAACUAUGUACCCCAAACCUAACUAUCUUUGUCCAGGGAUCAAUGUGUCAAUGAUGUUCUUCGGUUUGUAACUCAAAUCAGUCAUUUUCAGCUCCAAGUUCCCUGCCCAGGUUUUCAAUUGCCAUAAGCAAUGUUUGGAACAUUACGAUCAUUGCUCAUAAAUUUAAUUUAAAUAUUUAAAAACUGCAGGUAACAUAAAUGAGAGUUUUAGAUCUGAACUCCCAGCAGAUGAUGAUCUUCUCCAGAAGCCAUGGAGUCAGAAAAUACCUUUGAGAUGGACAUGAAUAAAUUGGUGUAAAUAAAGCCUCAACAUUGGAUUUCAUUGGCACAUUCUGGAUUGUAUAAUUAAAAUCCAUUAUCCGAAUAUUGACAUCCUAUAGGAUACAAUGCUUUAAUUUGCAUUUUCUCUUGGUUAAUUCCAGUUAAGGAUGUUUGUUUAGUUAUUUUGUCAAUGCUGUCUUCAUUCUGUCCCUGAAUUGUUGCUCCAUCUGUAGAAUAAAACCAAGAAUUGGGGAAUGUCUUUUCCAAAUGUCUCAGAUCAAGGCCAGUCCCUCACAAUGACAGAUAAAGGAGAUCCCAUUCUAGUCUUACACCCGCAUCUUAACAGCAUGGUCAUCCUUCCCGAAAAGGAAAGUGAUUUUGGUGCGGUUUCCUUCUUUCUGGUGUGUAAGUGUUGUUGAAACAAUGGAAUAGUUUAGGUGACUUUCUUAUGGAGAUUGUUAUUUGUAUUUGUCUAUGUGUGGCAAUACUGAAUCCAGUGCACCUUAUUUAAUGAGAAGGAUGUCCACUAUUCAUGUAGAGAUUGAUGAGGGAUUGUAAGUGGUCACCUUGACCUUUGGCUGGGGAGGGCACUGCGCCUGUUGGAAGCACUAGUUGGGAACUGUAAGUCAUAAGCACUCUAUUGUUGAAAAAUGU